rnacentral:rRNA from 1 species
GUGGGGAAUUUUGGACAAUGGGCGCAAGCCUGAUCCAGCAAUGCCGCGUGUGUGAAGAAGGCCUUCGGGUUGUAAAGCACUUUUGGCAGGAAAGAAAUAGUGCGUGCUAAUACCAUGCGCGAAUGACGGUACCUGCAGAAUAAGCACCGGCUAACUACGUGCCAGCAGCCGCGGUAAGACGUAGGGUGCAAGCGUUAAUCGGAAUUACUGGGCGUAAAGCGUGCGCAGGCGGUUUUGUAAGACAGGUGUGAAAUCCCCGGGCUCAACCUGGGAACUGCACUUGUGACUGCAAGGCUAGAGUGUGUCAGAGGGAGGUGGAAUUCCGCGUGUAGCAGUGAAAUGCGUAGAGAUGCGGAGGAACACCGAUGGCGAAGGCAGCCUCCUGGGAUAACACUGACGCUCAGGCACGAAAGCGUGGGGAGCAAACAGGAUUAGAAACCCCGGUAGUCC